rnacentral:misc_RNA from 1 species
AACGCACGAGACCUGCGGACCUGCGGAAGGAUCAUUAACGAAUAUCUAUGGCGUUGGUUGUAGCUGGCUCUUAGGAGCAUUUUGUGCACGCCCGUCAUUCAUAUCAUCUUUCCACCUGUGAACUAUGUGUAGGCCUGGAUACCCCUCGCUUUGGCAACAAGGCGGAUACAAGGAUUGCUGCGUCGCAAGGCCGGCUCUCUUUGAAUUUCCAGGUUCUAUGUCUUUUACACACCCCAUUUG